AGUUUUAAUUGAAAUGUCGAAAUGAUGUAGCUUUUCGUAAACCAUUUCUAUGAGAGAGAGUUGUGAAUCGAUUCUAAGUAAAGAAAAUUCUCUUUUGUUUCUAGUAAUUCUAUAAUAGAUUAAAAUGUGUAAAGACGGGGAAAUUUACACGUACUAGGUAAGGCUGCAUUGCACUACUGAAGCUUAGACCAAAUGUAUCGCAAUACGCACAAGCGAACUAACGAAAAAGUAGAAAAUCUAUUACUAAAAAUUUAUUAAAAUAAAGGCAUCUUAGAUUAUCUCAUCACAUUUUCAUCACUACGAGUGUAAAUUCACUCUCAUUUUUUGACGAUGCAAAUAAUAAUAUAUGACAGAAAGCAUUUGUAUCUUUAACUAAAUAUGCUCACAAUAUAUUAUAUAUUUCGAACACUAUGCUAGUUUAUAUAUCUAUAAAAAAUGCUGUAAUUUACUUAUAUGAAAUUUUAUUAUAACUUAUACUUCUGAUAUUA
rnacentral:misc_RNA from 1 species